GAUGAACGCUGGCGGCGUGUUCAACCCAUGCAAGUCGAACGGAACGGCCCUGCUUUUGUUGGGUUCUCGAGUGGCGAACGGGUGAGUAACCCGUGAGUAACCUGCCCUUGACUUUGGGAUAACUUCAGGAACCUGGGGCUAAUACCGGAUAGGAGCUCCUGCUGCAUGUUGGGGGUUGGAUAGUUCCGGCGGCUGGGGAUGGACUCGCGGCUCAUCAGCUUGCUGGUGGGGUAUUGGCUUACCAAGGCUUUGACCGGGAGCCGGCCUGAUAGGGUGACCGGCCACAUUGGGACUGAGAUACGGCCUGCACUCCUACGGGAGGCAGCAGUGGAAAAUAUUGCUCAAUGGACGGAAGCCUGAUGCAGCAACGCGGCGAGCGGGAAGACGGCCUUCGGGUUGUAAACCGCUUGCGCCUGGGACAGAGCGUAAGUGACGGUGAUGGGUAAGGAAUGACCGGAUAAGUACGUG
rnacentral:rRNA from 1 species